AGGUGAUUGUCUCCUGUGACCAGGUUCAUGGCCCUCGAGACUGCAAGAGCAAGAUGGGCAACGAGCAAGCAGCCGCCUCUUUCCCAGGCACGAGUGCAUCGAUCCUCUGCGUCCUUGAAAUUCACCUCUUUAAGGUGAAUUAAAGUUGCACGGGCACAUGGUGAGGAUGGAUAAUCACCUCUGCUGUGUUACUUGGGAUGUGUCCAUACAGCUGACUGGGAAGGAGAAGGGGAUGCUAACAGCUGCCCCAGCAGACAGGUAUUGCGAGGUCAAAGGCUAGCAGAGCUGUGCACCUCCAGGAUUGGACUGCCAGCCAAGGAGACGGGUAGUUUCUCAAAAACUAAUAACAAAAAUAGCAACAAUGAUGAGAAGGCGACGGAGCUGACAACAAAAAUGAAAAGGAACCCGCAAGAAGUGGAUUCUGGGUAGCGCAACACUUGGCAGAGCUGAUUUUAAUAUCUGACAGGUUGAGUUCACUAAUCUUUGCUAUUCAUAUUGACGUGAAACUUCAUACAGUUUUAGAGAUUUGUAUCUAUUAAGACAUGCAGCAGUGUUCCUACAACACGGGAACAAGUUUGCUAGCGCCUGCCGUUCUUCUU
rnacentral:lncRNA from 1 species